CUUGAAAGGGAAAGAGGAAGCAGCAACACCACCAUGAAGACGAAGCAGAGGUAGAUAGAGAUCCCAAGACGAACCAGAAGAAGAGGAAUCAAAAGCCUCGAUCAUCACCACCAUGUCUCAAACCUCAGCAUUCUAUGAUCGCCCUGUUUCUCGAUCAUCAAACCGAAUCUCACAACAACAAAUCAACCAGAGGAAAUCUAUAAAGGUAGAAGCUUUACACCGAUGAUGAAUCAGAGAAUCGAAGGCGAAGAGUGAUAUGCUUUGUUGUUCGACAAGAGAACGAACUAAGGAGAUUGAUUUGUAGGGUUUAGAAGAAGAAGAAGAAGAAGAAGAAGAAGAAGAAGAAGAACAAGAAGAAGAAGAAGAAGAAGAAGCGUUGAGUCGAGAGAAACAGAGAAUUUUGAUUUCUUGAUCAAACGGAAG
rnacentral:lncRNA from 1 species